rnacentral:rRNA from 1 species
UACAGAGGUCUCAAGCGUUGUUCGGAUUCAUUGGGCGUAAAGGGUGCGUAGGUGGCAUGGUAAGUUGAAGGUGAAAUCUCGGAGCUCAACUCCGAAACUGCCUUCAAUACUGCUGUGCUUGAGGACUGGAGAGGAGACUGGAAUUUACGGUGUAGCGGUGAAAUGCGUAGAUAUCGUAAGGAAGACCAGUGGCGAAGGCGGGUCUCUGGACAGUUCCUGACGCUGAGGCACGAAGGUCAGGGGAGCAAACGGG